UCCGGUAGUAGUAACAAAGUUGAAAGAAGUAAUUGAAAAAGUCACACACCAGACCUCAACUUUUGCAUCCAACUGGUCAACACCAACAGCAUCUGUAGACUCACCAGCUUCUGCAUGCGUUUCUCCUGAAGUGGUGUCUGAUGAUAUGGUGUCUCUUGUGCCAGGCUUUGAUGUCAAAGUCCCUAGACGAAAGCUUAACUGUCUGCGGACUGCAAAUCCAUCGGUCUACAUAGGGGACCUUGCUGUGCUUGUCUACGGCAGGGAAACGCUGUCCCAUUCAAGUUUGACGGGGAGACAGUCUGGGGCACACAAAGACAUGGAAUCUAAGCCACAACUCGAUAACACAAAACUUGAAGCUAUAGUUGCAUCCAUGAUGUGAGACGCAUCAUAAGAAAAAAAUGCAACAACGAAAGGUACGCCAAGCAAGCUACUGCAAAGAAGACCGUAUGAAAAGAACAUUUAGUUUUGUGGUUCCUCUGCCAUUUAACAGGGCAGAAACUAGAGGAGUACAACCUCUUUGUGGGGAGCUAGUGACCCUACAUAUGUGUUUAUACUGUUUGUUGAACUGGACAUCCAAAACAAUAUUUGUUUAAAACUUUGAUUUGUAGAGAAAAAAACUAUUUUCA